rnacentral:rRNA from 1 species
AUUGAACGCUGGCGGCAGGCUUAACACAUGCAAGUCGAGCGGAGAUGAGGUGCUUGCACCUUAUCUUAGCGGCGGACGGGUGAGUAAUGCUUAGGAAUCUGCCUAUUAGUGGGGGACAACAUUCCGAAAGGAAUGCUAAUACCGCAUACGUCCUACGGGAGAAAGCAGGGGAGCUUCGGACCUUGCGCUAAUAGAUGAGCCUAAGUCGGAUUAGCUAGUUGGUGGGGUAAAGGCCUACCAAGGCGACGAUAUGUAGCGGGUCUGAGAGGAUGAUCCGCCACACUGGGACUGAGACACGGCCCAGACUCCUACGGGAGGCAGCAGUGGGGAAUAUUGGACAAUGGGAGGAACCCUGAUCCAGCCAUGCCGCGUGUGUGAAGAAGGCCUUAUGGUUGUAAAGCACUUUAAGCGAGGAGGAGGCUACUGAGACUAAUACUCUUGGAUAGUGGACGUUACUCGCAGAAUAAGCACCGGCUAACUCUGUGCCAGCCGCCGCGGUAA